UUGAGUGUAUAUACGAUAUAUACUCAAGGAAAUGGUAAAGUACCAUUUGAUCCGAAAUAAUGAAACAUUCAUAGCUAAUUGGUAGCUUAAGGUGACUACAACCAAAGAGAAUGGUUGACUUGGAAGAAACCAUCUUUGACAUAGUCUUGGUUUCAAUUAAUUCAAAGAUUGCUAGCUACAACUAAAUGGUGAUUCAAUGUUUGGACAUAAUAUGGGUUUCUGAAACCAUUAUUAAGAUAGUCUUGAUAAUAUAUGUCUAAAACUAUGAAUCACAAGACAUGUAAGUUGUAGAGAUCCAUCCAUCAUGAAUCUUAGCAAGCUAGUGGGAGCUAUAAGCGUCUUAUGAGAGAAAGAUCAAAUCGUUUGAUUUCUCAUAAAGAUGUAAAUGAAUCUUUUGUUUACUAGGUUUACAAAAGAUUAGUGGGAGUUAAUCAUGUUCCUAAAUUUGAAUAUAUAUAUAUAUAUAUAUAUGUACAUAUAUGAUAUAUUAAUUUUGGAAAUGAAAAGAGUACUUCUUCAUUAAAGUUAUGACUUUAAACAUUCUAUAACGAUAGAAUGUAUAUGGGAGACAUAGUCUAUAAACAUGGGAUGGAAAUCUAUAAUGAUAGAUUUCAGGAUAUAAUUGGAUUAUAUCAAGCCCUAAUGAUAGACAAAAGAUGCUAGGAAGUUUCUCAUAUGAUGAUAAACUUCAAUCAGAAGGACAACUCUAGUGAGACUAGGAAGUUGCUCUUCUCAAAAGGAACGUACCCUUUUGACUCCUAAAGAAACAUAAUGCAUAAAUAGAAUCCUUUAUGCAUACGCAGAAAGGUGAUUUACGUAUUUCAUAUUGUAUGAAAAACAUUGAUAUGAGUUGUACCAAGAUCGGUACAAGACGAUAUCAAUGCAAGCCCAAGAUCAGAACCAUGGCAACUGUCAAGUGAGUCCUUAAGUAUUUAAGAAAUAAUAAAGGAUAUAUUCCUCAAAGAAUGAGGAAGAAUUAGAGUAACGUAAUGGAAGCGUAAAUGUAUUAGAUUAUGAAU
rnacentral:lncRNA from 1 species